UGACACAAAGGGCAGUCGAUGAGGUAUCCUGAUAGUGCUAAGGAGAGACUGACUAACUAUACUUUGAGAGAGUCAGAAUGACUUAAGGGAAGUGGUUGCUGACUGGAUUUGCAAAGAUGAGCUUGCCAAGCAGAAAAUGGGGUUGAGGAAGGCAUCCAAAGACCUACAGAAGGCAAAUGGGCAGAGGGAGACGGAAAGGAAGGCAUAACACUCUUUGAGUUGGACUUGAAGUUUCUGUGCGUAGCUAAUCCUAAAGGAUGCUGUGAAGGAGUAGAUGAAUAGUAGUAAUAGGGAUGCUCUGGGUAGGUAGAAGAAUGGCGAGAAACAGGAUGAGGAGAAACAGCCUGACCUUCACAGGCUGAAGAAUAGUCUCAGGAUGCUCGUAGGUUUGAGAUUUGCUUGCACUUCUGUCCACAACAGCUGGCUAUGACAAGAAAGAGUAUUGUUUUAAUUAAGGAUCUGUGGUGGUCUGAGUUUUACUCUCAAUAUCGAGUCCAAUAGUUAGGAGAAUUUACCAGCCUCUGACUUCUUUUUUCUUCACGAGAAGCUAGGGUACCAUUUGUGGGGUAAAUAUUUCAAAGAUUGUCUUUAUCUGGCAGGAAGGUAACCACAAACUAAGAAUGGGAUUUCUUGAAAGGGACAGAAAGACAUUUUGCUAACAGCUGUGUGUUUGUGACAUCAUAGCAUCACCUUUCCCUGAAUUCCAAAUCAAAGCAUUUUAGUCACUGAAGAGGCAGAAGAGGGUAAUGGCUCAUGAAGCUGCUUGUGUGAAAUUUGAAGUUCUAGAAGAUUCUGAAUAACUAUAAAUUCCAGGUUGGGGGGAGAUGCUAUCUGAUUUUCAGUCUGCGUGUCUGUCCUCUCCCCAGAAUUUCACAGGACCUAGAGUCACCCAGGAGAAAAACUAUGGCGCAUGUCUGUGAUGGGGGUUCUAGAGUGGGUUAAUUCAUGCAGAAGACCCAUUCUGUAACAUCUUUCCGUGGUCCGGGGCCCAGCCUGAAAAGGAGAAAGCAAGCCAAAUACCAGCGUUCACUGCUCUCUGCCUCUUGUCUGCUGAUGCAAUGCGAGCAGUUGCCUCAAACUCCUGAGACUGCCCUCGCCAGCCUCAAACUGGGAGCCAAAGAAAACUCUUCCAAUAAAGUUUGUCACUCUGAUGUCUUGCCACAGCAACGAGAAAAUUAACUAAUACAAUUCUCAAUGCCAGCUGAGGAUAUAGCCAAGUGGAGAAUUGCUUAAGCAAAUUGAAAUGAAGACCUGGCCUGAAAAUUUUCCCUAGCUAACAGUCCCGUUCCACCUCGGAAAUAAGCUUACUGAAAUUGAAAACAUGAUCAAAACUUUGCCUUAUUAUUUGCAAAUGCUUAUGAUAUAGAAAAAAAUGUUAAGCUCUACCAGCCGAAAGCAUCAGCCUGACAUAACUUCAACACUCCAGGGAGUCUGCACUGGGAUGGACAAAAAAUAAAGUGGCUGUGGGACUAUUGCAGCCAGAUCCGUUCUUUCUUUCCAUGCUCACUUUGUGGAAGCUUGUCCCUGGGCUUCUCUGAUGAAGCCCCAAGCCCCUUCUGAAUUUGUCCUUCAGGAUCUGUGAAUUGUUGCUUGCUCAAAUACAUUCUUGAACAUUUUAAAAUUGUGCCUCCAUUUACAUUUGG
rnacentral:lncRNA from 1 species